UACGUAGGGGGCAAGCGUUGUCCGGAUUUAUUGGGCGUAAAGAGCGUGUAGGCGGCCUGAAAGGUCAGCUGUGAAAACUCGAGGCUCAACCUCGAGACGUCGGUUGAAACCAUCUGGCUAGAGUCCGGAAGAGGAGUGUGGAAUUCCCGGUGUAGCGGUGAAAUGCGCAGAUAUCGGGAAGAACACCCGUGGCGAAGGCGGCACUCUGGGACGGUACUGACGCUGAGACGCGGAAAGCGUGGGGAGCGAACAGG
rnacentral:rRNA from 1 species